rnacentral:tRNA from 1 species
GGAUGUCGCUCAGUGGUACAGCACUUGCCUAACAUGCGUGAGGCCCUGGGUUGGAUCCCCGGCACCA